rnacentral:lncRNA from 13 species
GUGUAAUAUUAAUAACUUAAGGAAUAUCAAAUACCCGCACUGAAGUCACUGAUAGGAGGUGAAACGUGAGUUGAUAAGUAUUACUUUACACUCAGAAAACAACAAGAAAACCCCAUGUAGUUGCUAAUUAUGCAAACAGGACAAGAAACAUGAACACGACCAAUUCAAAUCAUGUCGUUAGUCAUUGACAUUAGCAUCCAGUAGUCAUAUCUAUUAUGACACUUUUGAAACCGCUCCAUUCCCUAACUUCCGUUUUACCCCGGUCUUUCAGAGUUGCGCAAACCACCCUACAUGGACAGCCAGUGACAGAGAGAAAACAGGAUCUUGUGCAGAACAGAGUACAUUUUCAAGAGCUGCUGCCUGGUGGACAAGCUCACGACACAGCUUGAUCAGGUUCCAUUCGGGUCAGGGCAGUGGAAUGAGAGAGCAGUGGAGCAGAGACAGCAGACCAGGCCAGACCACGUCAUCUCUUCUCAAAUCCUCAAAGGUUGUGGUAGGCCCAGGAAUGCAGCAAUGACAAGAGAAUAUUUAUGGCAGUCGAGAUUGUGACCACUAACUGAAAAGACAAACUAUCUCUUGGAAGUUUCUUGGAAAAUGCCAUUGUAAUGUUGAUGCACUGUUUAUAAGUGUUGUAAUUGCAACAUAUCCACUUGUAGAACAGAAAUAUGUAACCUCCCACCCCCUUUAGUUUGUUAUCGUAGAAACAUAAGAGUGCUGCAACUCUCCACUUUUCUUAGGAAACAGGAUAAUAGCAAUUACAAUUAAAAGCUCUGCUCUCUAGUAAUACUAAUAUUAUUAGGUCUAAUUAAGUUUCUCUGUAGAGGCAUCUGCCUAAUAUGUUUAACCUGAUUAAUAACUUGUUGUACUGCGUUAUAUGUGUUACAUUUAUUCAGAUAUUCUAUUUGUUAUGCAUGUCCUUGUAACCCUUUUGAAAAACAAUUAAUGACUAACUCCUUCUGAGUGAAGAAGUAUUUGUUGCAAUUGAAAAAGUUUGAUGUAAUGGAAAAUAUAAAAAUAAGUUAACAGGAUCAUGUCUCCUUGAAUGUGAAAACGCACAGUUCACAAUCAAAGAAAGACGUGUAUCUACAUCUACAAUUGCUUUAUACUAUACCAUGUACACUAUCCUAUAGCAUCUAAUUGCUUUCCAAGUAAAAAUCACCUUGAAUGCAUGAUGAGUUGUGUUGUCAUGUGCUGCUGCCUUGCUAUGUCCUUGUCUUAGGUCUCUCUUUGUGUAGUGUUGUCUCUUUGUCGUGAUGUGUGUUUUGUCCUAUAAAUACAUAUACAUUAUUUUUUUUCGUAAUUCUUUUUUAUUUUUUUAUAAUUUAUAUAGGUAUUUUGCUUUUUGGUAGGACGUCAUUGUAAACAAUAAUUAGUUCUUAACUGACUUGCCUAGUUAAAUAAAGGUUAAAUAAAAUAAAAUACACAUUACCUGUGAUUAUGUUGUUCCUGAAGAAGUGUGACCAUCUGGUUCAUGGUGCAUGAAUCCUGCGAAGCCAAGCCCCACUAGAAGCAGCUUCUCAGGAGGUAUCUGUCCUGUUGGGACUUGUCUGCUCAACACAAUGCCCAGAGUCUGUAUAAUAGUAGUAGUAUUUAGUAUUUAUUGGGAUCUAUUGGGUGUAACCCUAGAUAGCAAGCUGUC